GAAUAUUGCGCAAUGGGGGAAACCCUGACGCAGCAACGCCGCGUGAGUGAGGAAGGCCCUCGGGUCGUAAAGCUCUGUCAGAUAAGAAGAACGGUACAUGGUCUAAUAGGCCGUGUAUUUGACGGUACUAACAAAGGAAGCACCGGCCAACUUCGUGCCAGCCGCCGCGGUAAUACGAAGGGUGCAAGCGUUGUUCGGAUUUAUUGGGCGUAAAGCGCGCGCAGGCGGAUAAUUAAGCCAGAUGUGAAAUCUCGGGGCUCAACCCCGAAACUGCGUCUGGAACUGGUUAUCUAGAGUCUCGGAGGGGGAAGCGGAAUCUCGCAUGUAGGGGUAAAAUCCGUAGAGAUGCGAGGGAACACCAGAGCCGAAGGGGGCUUCCUGGACGAGUACUGACGCUGAGGCGCGAAAGCGUGGGGAGCAAACAGG
rnacentral:rRNA from 1 species